rnacentral:rRNA from 1 species
CACCGGCAGCUCGAGUGGUAGCCAGUUUUAUUGGGCCUAAAGCGUCCGUAGCCGGCUUAUUAAGUCUUUGGUGAAAUCCUGUAGCUUAACUAUGGGAAUUGCUUGAGAUACUAGUAGGCUUGAGGUCGGGAGAGGUUAGCGGUACUCCCAGGGUAGGGGUGAAAUCCUGUAAUCCUGGGAGGACCACCUGUGGCGAAGGCGGCUAACUGGAACGAUCCUGACGGUGAGGGACGAAAGCCAGGGGCGC